UACGUAGGGACCAAGCGUUGUUCGGAUUUACUGGGCGUAAAGGGCGCGUAGGCGGCGUGUUAAGUCAGCUGUGAAAUCUCCAAGCUUAACUUGGAACGGUCAGCUGAUACUGAUGUGCUAGAGUGCAGAAGGGGCAAUCGGAAUUCUUGGUGUAGCGGUGAAAUGCGCAGAUAUCAGGAGGAACACCGGUGGCGAAGGCGGCUUGCUGGGCCAGUUCUGACGCUGAGGAGCGAAAGCGUGGGGGAGCGAACAGG
rnacentral:rRNA from 1 species